GGAGAGAUGGCUCAGAGGUUAAGAGCAUUUGACUGCUCUUCUGAAGGUUCUGAAUUCAAAUCUCAGCAACCACA
rnacentral:tRNA from 1 species